rnacentral:lncRNA from 1 species
CCGCCUUCUCCCGGCCAGGCCAGCUCGGGCCUUUCCUCCGCCGCCGGGCCGCGUGCCGGCUCGAGGGGACGGACCUUGUUCUGUCUUCGCCCGAGGACUUUACACCCUCAGCGCCGGGGACCUGCUUCGAAACGUGCGUCAACCUGGGAGGACGGAGCGGGCUCGCGCUCAGCAAGCUCUAGCGAGGAAAGACGCCGCGAGAACCCCAGCAAUGAGAUGACCCUGUGAAUCAAAAUGACACCCACACUCGGUCUGGGAAGGGAGGCACUGAAGACGAUGAGAGGCUCUGUGGGACAAUACCGUGCUGCUCACGGAGUAGCGAGGAGCCCAGGUAAGGAGUGAGACACAGAGCCACUGCCGAGGCUGGACAGGCAGUAUCUGGAUUACUUACUACUCCUUAGCAUAGUUGCCUAAACUGGUGCCCACAUAAGCUCAGUUUCUUUUCCUACUGUCUUAGUGAGAAGAAUGGGAAAGGCCUGAUAUUUCUGUCUUUGAGAAGCAGAUUUUUGCAGGCUAUGCAUCCUAGGAAGCCCUAAUUUACCCUCUGCUUCCUUCAAAGCUUGUAGCACAGAAUGCCCAUCUCUGACCACUCCUGGGUGGGAUGGUGAGUGUCCCAGACUAUGUAAGCUUUCCUCUUCAUUUCCUGGAGGAGCCGGCCAGACCAGAAGCUCUGUUCUGUGUCUUGUCUC